rnacentral:rRNA from 1 species
GACGAACGCUGGCGGCGUGCUUAACACAUGCAAGUCGAACGAAAAGGCCCUGCUUUUGUCGUCUGCCCGAAGGGCGAACGGGGGGGUAACACCUGGGUAACCUGCCCUUGACUACGGGAUUACUUCAGGAAACUGGGACUAAUAACCGAUUGGUACUUCUGCUGCAUGGUGGGGGUUGGAAAGUUUCGGCGGUUUGGGAUGGACUGGCGGCUUAUCGGCUUGUUGGCGGGGUAGUGGCUUACCAAGGCAUAGACGGCUAGACGACCUGAGAGGGUGCCCGGCCACAUUAGGACUGAGAUACGGCCCAGACGCCAAUGGGACGCAGCGGUGGAGAAUAUUGCAGAACAGGCGGGAGCCAGAUGUGACGACGCCGCGUGCGGGAAGACGGGCUUUGGGUUGUAAACCACUGUCGCCUGAGACGAGGCGUGAGUGACGGUACCGGGUAAAGAAGCACCGGCUAACUACGUG